UCCCUUCGUCCGAGAAAACUUGUCACCGACGAUAAUUUUUUCAAAAAAACCUUCGCUUUAAUCCGACAAACGAUCCAGUCCGCAUCGCGUCCUCCAUCAUCUCUUGAUUUUGCGACGACGACGGUGGCAUCCUCUCCCCCGGUCGCCUCGCCGCGCUCCGGCUGCCUUCUCCCCCUCAUCUCGCCGCUUUUCUUCGUCCGUGUUGCCUGAUACCGACGAGGGGGGAGGGGAGGGGAGAUCAAGAGGAAAGCGAUCCCCUUCUCUGCAAAGCGCUCGAUUUGCCGGCUCAAGGCUACGUGUUGUAGCGCCGAGGCCGGGGCCCAAGGCGAGGGUGCUGGUCGCCCGCCGGGGGAAUCUACGGCCUGGUCUUUGCGCUCGUGGCCAGGCAUAAGGGCUUCCAGCUGCUGGUGGCCCCUCCCAGUGGGCGUGCGGCGCCAGGAGGCGGGUGAGGGGAGGAAAUGAGGCAGAGCAACUCUGAGAGAAAUGAGGUAGAGGUGAAGAAAACCUACUGGAGCCGAAGCAUAUGUGCAAAGAGGUGACAUGGGGGUGAUUGGUGACACGAGUUCUGCUUAAGCUAUUAUUUUCCUUGUUUAUCAUCUGCAGAACAGAGUACUUAUGAUAUAAAGACUUGUGUUUCAAAUUGUUUUAGUUUAUAAAUGACUUUGGCCUUUA